rnacentral:rRNA from 1 species
AGCCUGAUGCAGCCAUGCCGCGUGUGUGAAGAAGGCCUUAGGGUUGUAAAGCACUUUCAGUCAGGAGGAAAGGUUAGUAGUUAAUACCUGCUAGCUGUGACGUUACUGACAGAAGAAGCACCGGCUAACUCCGUGCCAGCAGCCGCGGUAAUACGGAGGGUGCGAGCGUUAAUCGGAAUUACUGGGCGUAAAGCGUACGCAGGCGGUUUGUUAAGCGAGAUGUGAAAGCCCCGGGCUUAACCUGGGAACUGCAUUUCGAACUGGCAAACUAGAGUGUGAUAGAGGGUGGUAGAAUUUCAGGUGUAGCGGUGAAAUGCGUAGAGAUCUGAAGGAAUACCGAUGGCGAAGGCAGCCACCUGGGUCAACACUGACGCUCAUGUACGAAAGCGUGGGGAGCAAACAGGAUUAGAUACCCUGGUAGUCCACGCCGGAAACGAUGUCUACUAGGAGCUGGGGUCUUCGGACAACUUUUCCAAAGCUAACGCAUUAAGUAGACCGCCUGGG